rnacentral:rRNA from 1 species
CCUACGGGAGGCAGCAGUAGGGAAUAUUGCUCAAUGGGGGAAAGCCUGAAGCAGCAACGCCGCGUGGGGGAUGAAGGUUUUCGGAUUGUAAACUCCUGUUGUUAGAGAAGAUAAUGACGGUAUCUAACGAAUAAGCACCGACUAACUCCGUGCCAGCAGCCGCGGUAAUACGGAGGGGGCAAGCGUUACUCGGAAUCACUGGGCGUAAAGGGCGCGUAGGCGGGUUAGCAAGUCAGAUGUGAAAUCCUAUGGCUUAACCAUAGAACUGCAUUUGAAACUGUUAAUCUAGAGUAUGGGAGAGGUAGGUGGAAUUCUUGGUGUAUCGGUAAAAUGCGUAGAGAUCAAGAGGAAUACUCAUUGCGAAGGCGACCUUCUAGACCGUAACUGACGCUGAUGCGCGAAAGCGUGGGGAGCAAACAGGAUUAGAUACCCGAGUAGUC